rnacentral:rRNA from 2 species
CAAACAGUAAUUCAAAGGGGUUAUUAAGGAAAAACUAGCAAAUUUAUAAAAAAGGAGGGCACAAGUCCAAAAGCCACAAUUUACCGAAAGGUGAUCAAGUUUCAUUAGAUUUAUUUAAUGUUGACAAAGAAUGUAGGCGAUCCUAAGGGAAACCUUUAUAUUUAAACUUCCCGAAGUAAAACAUUUCAUUAGGGAAAGGAAAGGAAAUCAACCGAGACUCCGAAAGUAAUGGCGAGUGAAAUCGGACUAGCCUUUAUUUAAAAAUAAAUUUAACAAAAAUACACACCAGAAACCAAAGAAGGUAAAACAGUCCUGUAUGUUAAAUCUUUUUAAAACUAAUGUUUAAAUAAGUAUUAUUAAAUUAAAAUUUAUUUAAAUAAUGAGUACGACGAGAGCGAACUUGUCGGAAUAUAGGGGAACCAUCCUCUAAGGCUAAGUAUUUAUAAAUUUAGCGAUAGUGAAAAGUACCGUGAGGGAAAGUUUGAAAUAGUUAUGUAAUUUUAGACAUAAAUGAAAUAGUUGAAUUAGUAACUCUAUAAGCAGUCGAAAUUUAUAAUUAUAAAUGACGGCGUACCUUUUGCAUAAUGGGUCAGCAAGUUAAUAGGAGUAGCAAGGUUAAAAGCCUUAGUGAAAGCGACCACACUAACUAGCUAAAAGUAUUCUUAAUUUCAUAGAUAUUAAGAAUAGGAUAUCCUUCAUAGUCAUAAGGCUAAGAAGUUAAAUAUUUUCUAGGAAUAUAGUGAUGGGUAAGUUACUUCUAUUAGACCCGAAGCUAGGUGAUCUUCCUAAGACCAGAUUAUAAUGGAUCGAACGGGUGAAUGUAGCAAAAUUCUCCGAAGAGUUUUAGGAAGCGGUGAAAUGCCAAUCUGACCUAGUGAUAGCUGGUUUUCUACGAAACAUAUGUAAGUAUGACAUCUAAACAAAAUUUAUGGUGGUACAGCACUGAGUUCCCAACUAUUUCUUUUUUUUAAAGAAAAGUUUAGGUUGCGGGGACGUCGAAAAUCUUACCAAUGGAAGAGAAUCUCGGAAUGACAUAAAUUGAUGAUAGAUAUUCAGACUGCUCAUGCGAAGUUGGGUAGUCAAGACGGAAACAGCCGAGAACACGAAACAAGGUCCCAAAUGAUUUUUAAGUGAAAUGAAGGAAGUAAUAUAUUGAAUGCAGCUGUAAAGUGAGCCUGGUAGUCGCUAUCUUUUAAUAAACGUAAUGUAACAACGUAGCAGCCUUAAACAAUAGAAUAUUACACCAAAAAUUUAACGGGUCUCAAAAAAUCAACCGAUAUCGUGUUUAUUUUGAAUAAUAAAAAUUAAUAUUCAAUAUACAGGUAGUAGAACAUUCAGUAUACUGAUGAUAAAACAGUGUUUCAUUGUUUUUAGGUCACUGAAGAGAGAAUGCUGACAUGAGUAACGUAAAAAGAAGUUAUAAUACUUCUCGCCGAAUACGAAAGGGUUGUAAGGAAAGGUUAAACCACCUUAUGUUAAUGCGGCCUCUAAGGAACAAAACCAAAGUUUUGUCUGAUGAGUAUGAAUUAGAAAGUCCAUUUUUAAAAAUAAAAAUUUAAUAAAGGGACCAGGAAAAGAAUAUAUUCUUAACUACCGUACCCUAAACCGACACAGGUUCGUAAGUAGAGUAUACUAAGGCGUAGAGCUAAAAGUUGUUAAGGAACUCGGCAAGUUCUCCUCAUAAGUUUGACGAUAAGAGGAACCCGAUAAGGGUGGCACAAAAUCGGAGGCCCCGACUGUUUACUAAAAACACAAUUCAGAGCAAUGAUGAAAAAUCAUAGUAUUCUGGAUGAAAUUUGCCCAAUGCCAUUAACAUAAAAGAGGUUAUGGGUAACUGUAACUGAUUGAAAGUCUGGUUAAUAGCGGUCUUAACUAUGAGGAUCCAAAGGUAGCAAAAUAAAUUGGCCAUUAAAUGUGGUCUGGUAUCAAUAGUGUAACGAUGGUCUCACUGUCUCUACAACUUGCUCAGUGAAAUUGAAUUACCCGUGCAGAUGCGGGUUGCCUCCAGGUGGACGGGAAGACCCUAUGCAGCUUUACUGUAGUUAGCUAUCAUAUUGAUCUACAACAACCUUAGUUAAUAGUAAUUAGGGAUGUCGAAUUGACGAAAGAUGGAAUACCUUCUGACUUUGGUUGGGUUAAUAUUUACCUUUUUAAGUAAAAUAUUAUAUAUGACUCAAAAUUUUCUUUUGUUUAUUCUAUUCAUAUUCUGUUAUAUAGUGUAAUAUGGUAUAAAGCUUAUAAGGGAUAGGUGGCUAAUUGGCAGUUUGACUGGGGCGGUCGUCUUUGAUAAAGUAGCAAAGUACAUCCAAAGAUAUUUAUUUAUUAGAAACAAUCUUUUUUUAAAAAGAUACUUACUAAAAAUUCAUAGUAUCUAUAUAAACUAUGAAGAAUAUAAUUUAUUAUAUUUUUAUUAACUUAAGGUAUAGCUAGAAAAUUGAAUGGAAAUCAAUCAACCAGUGUGAAAGGUUGUAAUAGGCGUAAUGGCGGAAAGCAUGCCUAACUGAAAGACUUAGAAGUCGAACAGAUACGUAAGUAGGGCAUAGUGACCCUUCGCUAUAUUAUGGAAUAGACGGGGAUCAAUCGAUAAAAGUUACGCUAGGGAUAACAGGCUGAUAGCUGGUGAGAGUACACAUUGUCCCGGCUGUUUGGCACCUCGAUGUCGACUCAACCUAUCCUCCGGGGGUAGAAGCUUGGAAGGGUUCGGCUGUUCGCCGAUUAAAAGGUUACGCGAGUUGGGUUUAAUACGACGUGAGUCAGUAUGGUCCCUAUCUUCUGGAGGGAUAAAUAGUAAAAAGGGGCAGACCUUCUAGUACGAAAGGAUCAAUAGGCUGUGUUUCUCUAGUGUACCAAUUGUAAUUCUCUAUUCUAAAAAUUUUUAAAGGAUUAAAGAAAGAUUAAAGCAUAGUUGGGUAGCCACAAACAUGAUAGAUAAGCGCUGAAUGAAUAUUAAGCAGGAAGCUAUCCCCUAGAUACUAUCUUAUUGAUUAUCUUUUUAAUUGAUAUUUUAUUAGUUUUCUUUUUAAUCAAUGUGAAUAAGAAAUAGAACAUUUCUAAAUAGGAUGCAAAUGAAAGUGCUGUAA